AACGAACGCUGGCGGCAUGCCUAACACAUGCAAGUCGAACGAGACCUUCGGGUCUAGUGGCGCACGGGUGCGUAACGCGUGGGAACCUGCCCUUAGGUUCGGAAUAACUCCCCGAAAGGGGUGCUAAUACCGGAUAAUGUCUUCGGACCAAAGAUUUAUCGCCUUUGGAUGGGCCCGCGUUGGAUUAGCUAGUUGGUAGGGUAAAAGCCUACCAAGGCGACGAUCCAUAGCUGGUCUGAGAGGAUGAUCAGCCACACUGGGACGGAGACGCGGCCCAGACUCCUACGGGAGGCAGCAGUGGGGAAUAUUGGACAAUGGGCGAAAGCCUGAUCCAGCAAUGCCGGGUGAGUGAUGAAGGCCGUAGGGUUGUAAAGCUCUUUUACCCGGGAUGAUAAUGACAGUACCGGGAGAAUAAGCUCCGGCUAACUCCGUG
rnacentral:rRNA from 1 species